rnacentral:rRNA from 1 species
AUUGAACGCUGGCGGCAGGCUUAACACAUGCAAGUCGAACGAGCGGCGGACGGGUGAGUAAUGUAUGGGGAUCUGCCUGAUGGAGGGGGAUAACUACUGGAAACGGUAGCUAAUACCGCAUACCAUCAGAUGCACCCAUAUGGGAUUAGCUUGUAGGUGAGGUAACGGCUCACCUAGGCGACGAUCCCUAGCUGGUCUGAGAGGAUGAUCAGCCAAACUGGGACUGAAGCAUGGCCCCGACUGCGACGGGAGGAAACAGGGGGGAAUAUUGCACAAUGGGGGCAAGCCUGAUGCAGCCAAGCCGGGGGUAUGAAGAAGGCCUUCGGGUUGUAAAGCACGUUCAGGCGGGAGGCGUUACCCGCAGAAGAAGCACCGGCUAACUCCGUGCCAGCAGCCGCGGUAAAUA